ACGGGAGGCAGCAGUGGGGAAUAUUGGGCAAUGGGCGAAAGCCUGACCCAGCGACGCCGCGUGAGGGAAGAAGGUCUUCGGAUUGUAAACCUUAGUCAACAGGGAAGAAGCAAGUGACGGUACCUGUGGAGGAAGCCACGGCUAACUACGUGCCAGCAGCCGCGGUAAUACAUAGGGAGCAAGCGUUAUCCGGAUUUACUGGGUGUAAAGGGUGCGUAGGCGGCAUGGUAAGUCAGUCGUUAAAGACCAGAGCUUAACUCUGGACCAGCGAUUGAAACUAUCAAGCUAGAGUACAGGAGAGGUUAGUGGAAUUACUAGUGUAGAGGUGGAAUUCAUAGAUAUUAGUAAGAACACCAAUGGCGAAGGCAGCUAACUGGCCUGAAACUGACGCUGAGGCACGAAAGUGUGGGGAGCAAACAGGAUUAGAUACCCUGGUA
rnacentral:rRNA from 1 species